AGGGGGAGAAAUCAGAAGCAUUUAGCUAGCUAGGGGAAAAAAAGGGGUUCCUGAGCAUUGGAAUCACGGGGGGUCCUCGACUUACGACCAGAACAGAGUUCAAAGUUUCCGUCGCUGGGUGAGAUAGUUGUUAAGUGAAUUUUUCUCCCAUUUUGCAACCUUUCUCCCCAUCCUUGCGGAGUGAAUCUUUGCAUCUGUUACAGUUAGUGACCCGGUCGUUAAGCGAAUCUGGCUUUUCCCCAUAGAUUUUGCUUGUCAGAAGGUCGCAAAAGGGGGAAUCACCUGACCCCGGGGAGGCUGCGACCGUCAUAAACAUGAGCCGGUUGCCAAGCGUCUGAAUGGCCACAAGAGUGCUGCAACGGUCCGCUGUCGUAAUGUCAAAUGGUCACUAAGCGAAAUGUCGUAAGUCGAGGACUACCUGUACUUGGAAAACUGGACCCAGAACCUACACCUCACUCACCGGGGGUGCAAUCCUGGGCCUCAUCCACCAAGAUGACAUCGUAUUCGGAAAGCGAAGGCUUCUGGAGUUGCCAAAGCUUCAGAGCUGCCAAUAUUUCCCCUGAUAUCCCACGUACCAUCGUGCGUCAUUCGGUGCGCCAUUUCUCCGGUUGGGCUCAGCGUCUGCAUCUUGCUCCAUAUUUCUUUUGCUUCUUCAACAAUGAUCUAGAAAGCAAAAGCUGGGAAGUAGAUCUUGCCGCACAAGAUCAGAUCCGAGGUUUUGUCAUCCAGGCUGCCCAGAGACUUGAAGGAGAAGGACGGUCUGGAUCCACAGGUCGCCAACGAGGAUCGUGUGACCUCAGGACACUGCAACCGUCAUAAACUUGAGUCAGGUUGCCAAGCACCUGAAUUUUAACGGCGUGAACAUGGGGGAAAGCCGCGGACGGUCGCAAGGGUGAAAAAAACGGCCGUGCGUUAUUUAUGUCAGCGCAGUCGUAACUUCGAACGAUCACUAAAGAAACGGUCGUUAAGUCGAGGACCACCUGCCAGGGCUCCCGAGCAUCG